UACAGAGGUCCCAAGCGUUGUUCGGAUUCACUGGGCGUAAAGGGUGCGUAGGCGGGUAAGUAAGUCCGUGGUGAAAUCUCUGAGCUUAACUCAGAAACUGCCGUGGAUACUAUUUGCCUUGAAUAUUGUGGAGGUGAGCGGAAUAUGUCAUGUAGCGGUGAAAUGCUUAGAUAUGACAUAGAACACCAAUUGCGAAGGCAGCUCACUACACAAUCAUUGACGCUGAGGCACGAAAGCGUGGGGAUCAAACAGG
rnacentral:rRNA from 1 species